CCUGAUGGGCUCAACGGCGGCACUCGUCCAAGCAGCAGCUGUGGCUUGGGUCCCUAGCACUGCACUGGUGCUCCUCCCGUCAUCCGCCAUGCGCUACGAGUAUAGGCCGCGCCACGCGCUCCGCGCAGGCAAAGAGUGUGGCGGCCGAAGGCGAGCAGCUGAGGAACUAGGCGUGAAGGCCGCACAGCCCGGACGGCCCCAUCGCUACGCUAGGAGAGAGCAGCCAUGUGGCCGGAGGAAGGGCACUUACCUCGUCGUUGCUGGUCUCUGCUCCUCAACGAAGCAGGCAAGCAGAACCUGCGCAUUGCGGCUCCACCGCACCCCUGUACGCCCUCCCGCUUCGCGAAGCUCCGCCGGCCAUUGCUCCUACAAGUCGAGCGGCCGUCAACAUCGACGAUGCCCAGCAGUUGCUCGACAAAAUGUCUUCAAGGAAAACUGGACGUCCCUCGGCCGUGUCUUGCUCGCAUUCGAUGAAGACAGCUGCUCUGCAAGACAUACAAGCUCCAAGUGCUAAUCGAUAAUGAGCGGUCGCUGUUCCUCAAUGCACGGUGUCACAGAUGGCAGAUCACAGAGCACGGAUGGCAAAGACAGGACCUCUUUAAGCCCCAAAACAAUCUAUGAUAGUCAGGUAAAUCUUGAAUGAUUGUUUACCUCAUGUAUCAGUAAUCGAUGCUAAAGACUGUAUGCUCCAAAUAUACUUUGGAAGAAAUAAAGCAUGAAAGUUGCUUGAUUCUCUUCA